rnacentral:rRNA from 1 species
UACAGGGGGUGCAAACGUUGCUCGGAAUUAUUGGGCGUAAAGCGCGCGCAGGCGGUCCUUUAAGUCUGAUGUGAAAGCCCACGGCUCAACCGUGGAGGGUCAUUGGAAACUGGGGGACUUGAGUACAGAAGAGAAGAGUGGAAUUCCACGUGUAGCGGUGAAAUGCGUAGAUAUCAGGAGGAACACCGGUGGUGUAGACGGCUUUCUGGACCGUAACUGACGCUGAGACACGAAAGCGUGGGUAGCAAACAGG